GACGAACGCUGGCGGCGUGCUUAACACAUGCAAGUCGAACGAUGAAGCCGGAGCUUGCUCUGGUGAAUUAGUGGCGAACGGGUGAGUAACACGUGAGUAACCUGCCCUUGACUCUGGGAUAACUGCGGGAAACUGUAGCUAAUACCGGAUACGACCCUCGGAGGCAUCUCCUGGGGGUGGAAAGAAUUUCGGUCAAGGAUGGACUCGCGGCCGAUCAGCUAGUUGGUGAGGUAAAGGCUCACCAAGGCGACGACGGGUAGCCGGCCUGAGAGGGUGACCGGGCACACUGGGACUGAGAAACGGCCCAGACUCCGACGGGAGGCAGCAGUGGGGAAUAUUGCACAAUGGGCGCAAGCCUGAUGCAGCAACGCCGCGUGAGGGAUGACGGCCUUCGGGUUGUAAACCUCUUUUAGCAGGGAAGAAGCGAAAGUGACGGUACCUGCAGAGAAAGCACCGGCUAACUACGUGCCAGCCGCCGCCGUAA
rnacentral:rRNA from 1 species